rnacentral:rRNA from 1 species
GAUGAACGCUGGCGGCGUGCCUAAUACAUGCAAGUCGAGCGAACAGACGAGGCGCUUGCUCCUCUGACGUUAGCGGCGGACGGGUGAGUAACACGUGGAUAACCUACCUAUAAGACUGGGAUAACUUCGGGAAACCGGAGCUAAUACCGGAUAAUAUAUUGAACCGCAUGGUUCAAUAGUGAAAGACGGUUUUGCUGUCACUUAUAGAUGGAUCCGCGCCGCAUUAGCUAGUUGGUAAGGUAACGGCUUACCAAGGCGACGAUGCGUAGCCGACCUGAGAGGGUGAUCGGCCACCCUGGAAGUGAGACACGGUCCAGACUCCUACGGGAGGCAGCAGUAGGGAAUCUUCCGCAAUGGGCGAAAGCCUGACGGAGCAACGCCGCGUGAGUGAUGAAGGUCUUCGGAUCGUAAAACUCUGUUAUUAGGGAAGAACAAAUGUGUAAGUAACUAUGCACGUCUUGACGGUACCUAAUCAGAAAGCCACGGCUAACUACGUG